rnacentral:rRNA from 1 species
ACACCUGUCUCCCAUCUCGAACACAGAAGUUAAGUCCUCCAGCGCCGAUGGUAUUGUAGGGGCAGCCCUGCGAGAGAGUAGGACGCUGCCAGAU